UAUAGUCCGCGUGUCGUCGGUUUCCGCAAGGAACCGAGAGGGAAUACGGUAAAGGCGCGAGCCCCAAGCCGUGGCUGCCCCCGCAACUGUGUGCGGUAGUCCUCUCCGAAAACCACUGGGGUCACACCCGGGAAGGCGGAGGAGGGCGCUGAUCCGCAAGCCAGGAGACCUGCCGGCGACACGAAAAUGGC
rnacentral:ncRNA from 2 species